UUACUACAUGAUUCCAUAUGUGUUAUUUCAUAGUGUUGAUGUGUUCACUAUUAUUUCUUCAUUGUAGAAAAUAGUAAAAAAUAAAGAAAAACCCUUGAAAGAGUAGGUGGAGACAGGUGGCUUGUAGUGAAGAACCAACGGUUGGUUGGUGGUAUGUUCUCCAUAAGGUUCAGGAGUGUAAAGAGAAGCAUCUGAAAUCCAAUACACAGGUACAGAAGCUAAUCAGACAGUGGUACACAGGUACACAGGUACAGAAGCUAAUCAGACAGUGGUACACAGGUACACAGGUACAGAAGCUAAUCAGACAGUGGUACACAGGUACAGAUGCUAAUCAGACAGUGGUACACAGGUACAGAAGCUAAUCAGACAGUGGUACACAGGUACAGAUGCUAAUCAGACAGUGGUACACAGGUACAGAUGCUAAUCAGACAGUGGUACACAGGUACAGAUGCUAAUCAGACAGUGGUACACAGGUACACAGGUACAGAAGCUAAUCAGACAGUGGUAAACAGGUACAGAAGCUAAUCAGACAGUGGUACACAGGUACACAGGUACAGAAGCUAAUCAGACAGUGGUAAACAGGUACAGAUGCUAAUCAGACAGUGGUAAACAGGUACACAGGUACAGAAGCUAAUCAGACAGUGGUACACAGGUACACAGGUACAGAAGCUAAUCAGACAGUGGUACACAGGUACACAGGUACAGAAGCUAAUCAGACAGUGGUAAACAGGUACAGAUGCUAAUCAGACAGUGGUAAACAGGUACACAGGUACAGAAGCUAAUCAGACAGUGGUACACAGGUACACAGGUACAGAAGCUAAUCAGACAGUGGUACACAGGUACAGAAGCUAAUCAGACAGUGGUACACAGGUACACAGGUACAGAAGCUAAUCAGACAGUGGUAAACAGGUACACAGGUACAGAAGCUAAUCAGACAGUGGUACACAGGUACACAGGUACAGAAGCUAAUCAGACAGUGGUACACAGGUACAGAUGCUAAUCAGACAGUGGUACACAGGUACAGAAGCUAAUCAGACAGUGGUAAACAGGUACAGAAGCUAAUCAGACAGUGGUACACAGGUACACAGGUACAGAUGCUAAUCAGACAGUGGUACACAGGUACACAGGUACAGAAGCUAAUCAGACAGUGGUAAACAGGUACAGAAGCUAAUCAGACAGUGGUAAACAGGUACACAGGUACAGAAGCUAAUCAGACAGUGGUACACAGGUACACAGGUACAGAAGCUAAUCAGACAGUGGUACACAGGUACACAGGUACAGAAGCUAAUCAGACAGUGGUAAACAGGUACAGAUGCUAAUCAGACAGUGGUAAACAGGUACACAGGUACAGAAGCUAAUCAGACAGUGGUACACAGGUACACAGGUACAGAAGCUAAUCAGACAGUGGUACACAGGUACAGAAGCUAAUCAGACAGUGGUACACAGGUACACAGGUACAGAAGCUAAUCAGACAGUGGUAAACAGGUACACAGGUACAGAUGCUAAUCAGACAGUGGUACACAGGUACACAGGUACAGAAGCUAAUCAGACAGUGGUAAACAGGUACACAGGUACAGAAGCUAAUCAGACAGUGGUACACAGGUACACAGGUACAGAAGCUAAUCAGACAGUGGUACACAGGUACAGAAGCUAAUCAGACAGUGGUAAACAGGUACACAGGUACAGAAGCUAAUCAGACAGUGGUACACAGGUACACAGGUACAGAAGCUAAUCAGACAGUGGUACACAGGUACAGAUGCUAAUCAGACAGUGGUACACAGGUACAGAAGCUAAUCAGACAGUGGUAAACAGGUACAGAAGCUAAUCAGACAGUGGUACACAGGUACACAGGUACAGAUGCUAAUCAGACAGUGGUACACAGGUACACAGGUACAGAAGCUAAUCAGACAGUGGUACACAGGUACACAGGUACAGAUGCUAAUCAGACAGUGGUACACAGGUACAGAAGCUAAUCAGACAGUGGUACACAGGUACAGAAGCUAAUCAGACAGUGGUACACAGGUACAGAUGCUAAUCAGACAGUGGUACACAGGUACAGAAGCUAAUCAGACAGUGGUAAACAGGUACAGAAGCUAAUCAGACAGUGGUACACAGGUACACAGGUACAGAUGCUAAUCAGACAGUGGUACACAGGUACACAGGUACAGAAGCUAAUCAGACAGUGGUACACAGGUACACAGGUACAGAUGCUAAUCAGACAGUGGUACACAGGUACACAGGUACAGAAGCUAAUCAGACAGUGGUACACAGGUACAGAUGCUAAUCAGACAGUGGUACACAGGUACAGAAGCUAAUCAGACAGUGGUAAACAGGUACAGAAGCUAAUCAGACAGUGGUACACAGGUACAGAUGCUAAUCAGACAGUGGUACACAGGUACACAGGCACAGAAGCUAAUCAGACAGUGGUACACAGGUACAGAAGCUAAUCAGACAGUGGUAAACAGGUACACAGGUACAGAAGCUAAUCAGACAGUGGUACACAGGUACAGAAGCUAAUCAGACAGUGGUACACAGGUACACAGGUACAGAAGCUAAUCAGACAGUGGUACACAGGUACACAGGUACAGAAGCUAAUCAGACAGUGGUACACAGGUACACAGGUACAGAAGCUAAUCAGACAGUGGUACACAGGUACACAGGUACAGAUGCUAAUCAGACAGUGGUACACAGGUACACAGGUACAGAAGCUAAUCAGACAGUGGUACACAGGUACACAGGUACAGAAGCUAAUCAGACAGUGGUACACAGGUACACAGGUACAGAAGCUAAUCAGACAGUGGUACACAGGUACACAGGUACAGAAGCUAAUCAGACAGUGGUACACAGGUACACAGGUACAGAAGCUAAUCAGGUACAGAAGCUAAUCCUUUUUGUUUCUUUUCAUUUGUUUAUGUGUGUGUGUGUGUGUGUGUGUGUGUGUGUGUGUGUGUGUGUGUGUGUGUGUGUGUGUGUGUGUGUGUGUGUGUGUGUGUGUGUGUGUGUGUGUGUGUGUGUGUGUGUGUGCGGGCAUGUGUGUGUCGUGACGUGUCGUGUUUGUUGGUUUGUCCAGCUAACAGCUGUCUCUAACCCCUUCUGCCCUCCUAUAGGUCCAAGCUCCCGGAGUUCAUCAAGAUGAUGAGUGACCACUUCCUUUGACAACAUUUUCUUAUUUCCUGAACCAAUCAAUCAACCGAUCACGUCAAUCAACGAUCGAUCGAUCUGACCAACGUCUUGCCCUGACAACCUGUCUUUUGUCUCCUGUAGAAAUAAAUGAACCCAAAUGUAUAUUGGCUAUGGAACAACAUAACAGAUACUACCGUACUACAGAUACUACAGUACUACAUAUACUACAAUACUACAGAUAUUACAAUACUACAGAAACUACAAUACUACAGAUACUACAAUACUACAGAAACUACAAUACUACAGAUACUACAGUACUACAGAUACUACAGUACUACAGAUACUACAGAUACUACAGAUACUACAAUACUAUAGAUACUACAGUACUACAGAUACUACAGUACUACAGAUAUUACAAUACUACAGUUCUACAGAUACUACAGUACUACAGAUAUUACAAUACUACAGAAACUACAAUACUACAGAAACUACAGUACUACAGAAACUACAAUACUACAAAUACUACAGUACUACAGAUACUACAAUACUAAAGAUAUUACAAUACUACAGAUAUUACAAUACUACAGUACUACAGAUACUACAGUACUACAGAAACCACAGUACUACAGAUACCACAGAUAUUACAAUACUACAGAAACUACAAUAUUACAGAUUCUACAGAUGCGAGAGUACUACAUAUAUUACAAUACUACAGAUUCUACAGUACUACAGAUUCUACAAUACUACAGUACUACAUAUUCUACAAUACUACAGUACUACAGAUACUACAGUACUACAGAUACUACAAUACUACAGUACUACAGAUACUACAGUACUACAGAUUCUACAAUACUACAGUACUACAGAUACUACAGUACUACAGAUUCUACAAUACUACAGAUACUACAGUACAAUACAUUUGUUCUUAUUUCUUUCUGUUAUUAUAUAUCUUAAAGAUUUUUUUUUUUAAUUAAAAAAAAUAUAUAUAAUAAUGGAUGCAACUACUCGGUGUUGGGGGAAUAUUUCAAACAUGAUAUGUUUAUAAUCAUAAUGUUUAACAAUGUUGCAGACUGAGCUGUUCGUGAACACAGCCCUGUCAACUGAAUGGCAAUCUUCUCCACACUGUGGAGACUCUUGCAGUUAGUGCCUGAAAUCCUCCUUGACAUUUAAAGUUAGCUAGAUAUAUAUGAAAACUCAAUCAGUCAGUCUAGACAGGAAGAGGGUAUGAAUAGAAUAUAGAAAAGUAGACAUUAUGUAGAAUUUCAAGAUAUUGUAAAAACACGCAAUAAUGACUACAACAAAAAAAAGUGUACUUCUAAUCUAGAACAGAUUCAUUUUGAGAUAACACUUUGUUUUGGGCUGUAUGCUAGAAUGGAUAGAGGCAACAAAAAAAAUGGCUGCCCCUUAUACUUAUAGCCACUCGAAACUAGCAAACGUCCAGAUUCAGAUUUGAAAUGUGUUUUCAUUGGCCAUUCUUUUGCGGGGGCGGAGCAGAUGAGCAAAUGGACCCUUUGUGAUUGGAGGGCAGGCCGUUGGUAGUGUUACUGUUCGUUAGCCCAUGUUACUAGGCAGAUGAAGGAAGGACGGAGAGAAAAGAAAGGGUGGAGAGAUUGUCUCCUUGCCGUGUCUGUCACACAGACAGAUCCAGAACAAAGACUCUCGCCCCGUGAUGACGUCACUUCCUGGUUGGUGAUGUCACGUCCUGGUUGGCGAUGACGCUGCGUCGGAAAGGCACAGCCAGAGGGGGAUGUACAUCCCAGAGACCGAGCAGUCCGUCAUCUUGUAUGAUUUGUCUGAUUUAUAAACCCCGGUCUAGCACUUCACACCCCCCUCUGUCACCCUCCCCAGUUCUCCCUUCCUGCCCCGAUUACCCCCUAACCAAGCCCCAACCCCCAAGACCCUGCAAGGCUCCAGAGAUGCAAUUUUAACAUUCACUUCUACCAAUGUGCCUUUCAGAGUUCAUAUCAUUCAAAUGCGAUGAGGAGGAGACGGACGUUAUCUGAACUUUUUAGGAUUCAAGCUUAGGGAACUGUUAGUUAUUAGGUCUAUGCAGUCAGGUUUUUUCCAACCUGGGAAUUAAAAAAAAGAAAAAGAAAAACAGUCAAAAGAGAAAAAAAAGUAUUUUUGGGAUAAACUGUAUUUAAUUGUACUGUAUGCUUAUAUGUAAUUAGAUGACGUGUCCCUGAACAGACCUUGUUUUAGUCAGUUGAGCCCCCUGGCGGCCCCAGCACCCCGAGUUUCAGACCCCUUCCUGUAUUAAUUCCAAGUUUCAGCCUGUUUCCAUAGUGACCUACACGUCUGUUAUUGAGCGUUGUAUUAUAGCUAUCAGCUUUUUAUCAAUAUCGGCUUGUCCGUGAGCCCCUGUAGUCUUCAGUACCAGUGUGUGGUUGUGUGUGUAAAACAGAACUUCUUCUCUUUUUGAAAUCUUUCUCUUAUUCUUUGUCUGUUCUGGUUUCUCCGUUGAUGAAAAAAGUACUAAACCACAACUUGCUGCCCUAUGGAGAUUCGUCAGCAGCUGUUUUUAAAUGUGGUUUACAUUAUCCAAUCAACGCAAAGGCACUGAAACUGGAAAAUAAUCUAUUUGAAAAAUCAAUAUAUAUAAAUGUAAAAAUAUAUACAAUAUAUAAAUAAGGAAGGUGCCAGUUUUCAAAGGAGAGGUUGUUUUGGUGGUGAUUCAUUAUUUUCUCAGAGAUGGGGAGAAGGUUUGAAGAGGCAUCUCAGUGUUACUUUAAAGAGACAAGACGCGAUCUUCUUCUCUGCCGUGCCGUGCCGUGACAUCACAAUGACUGACUAUGGUGUCCCUGACUGGACAAAAGGGACCGGUCUUCUCUGGCGGGGCCGUGACAUCACAAUGACUGACUAUGGUGUCCCUGACUGGACAAAAGGGACCGGUUUUCUCUGCCGUGCCGUGACAUCACAAUGACUGACUAUGGUGUCCCUGAUGGGACAAAAGGGACCGGUUUUCUCUGGCGGGGCCGUGACAUCACAAUGACUGACUAUGGUGUCCCUGACUGGACAAAAGGGACCGGUCUUCUCUGGCGGGGCCGUGACAUCACAAUGACUGACUAUGGUGUCCCUGACUGGACAAAAGGGACCGGUUUUCUCUGCCGUGCCGUGACAUCACAAUGACUGACUAUGGUGUCCCUGACUGGACAAAAGGGACCGGUCUUCUCUGGCGGGGCCGUGACAUCACAAUGACUGACUAUGGUGUCCCUGACUGGACAAAAGGGACCGGUUUUCUCUGCCGUGCCGUGACAUCACAAUGACUGACUAUGGUGUCCCUGAUGGGACAAAAGGGACCGGUUUUCUCUGGCGGGGCCGUGACAUCACAAUGACUGACUAUGGUGUCCCUGACUGGACAAAAGGGACCGGUUUUCUCUGGCGGGGCCGUGACAUCACAAUGACUGACUAUGGUGUCCCUGACUGGACAAAAGGGACCGGAGUUACAACAUGCUCCACUCACUGCUAAUUCAGCUGUCAAAGGAAACGCAGAAAUUUGUCAAUUGUAUGCAACAAAUGCAAACUGACGAUUAUUUUGAAAUUGUGUAUGUAAAAGUUAUAUUUUUACAUGUAGGCUGUUGUUAUUUUGUGUUUAGAUAAUACGUUGUGUUAGUUUUUUGUUAAAAGAUGAAAAAGUAAAAUUCGGUGUUGAAAACAUGUCACAUUGAAAAUGUAGUCAAAAGUUUCAAUAUCAUAUUUUUUUGUUUUUUUCAGCAUUUUGUUUGUUUAUAUCAAGAAGGUAUAUAAUAUUAUUUUCAUGCUCCAUGCUCAUUACCAUUUUUUCAUUGUAUUUUUCAUUGCCAUUUUUUCAUUGUAUUUUUCAUUGUAUUUUUGAAGACAUAAUGUAUAAAUAAAUCAUAAUACACAGGGUUCAUGACCUUUUGGUUGGGGUGCUGGUGGUGAAUAGCUGAAAGUGGGAGAGAAUUGAGUUGAUUUGAUCAGUUGUAUUCUGCUUGUAAUUGUCUGGUUAUUCUAGCCAGGUGCCAAUAUUAAUUAAAAAUCAACUGGCACGUAA